AGGACGAACGCUGGCGGCGUGCUUAACACAUGCAAGUCGAGCGGACAUCUUCGGAUGUUAGCGGCGAACGGGUGAGUAACACGUGGGCAACCUGCCCCUAGCUCUGGGAUAACUCCGGGAAACCGGGGCUAAAUACUGGAUAUGACCGAUCCAUGCAUGUGGGUUGGUGGAAAGUUUUUCGGCUAGGGAUGGGCCCGCGGCCUAUCAGCUUGUUGGUGGGGUGAUGGCCUACCAAGGCGACGACGGGUAGCC
rnacentral:rRNA from 1 species